rnacentral:rRNA from 1 species
UUACUGGGCUUAAAGAGUUCGUAGGUGGUUAAAAAAGUUGGUGGUGAAAUCCCAGAGCUUAACUCUGGAACUGCCAUCAAAACUUUUUAGCUAGAGUAUGAUAGAGGAAAGCAGAAUUUCUAGUGUAGAGGUGAAAUUCGUAGAUAUUAGAAAGAAUACCGAUUGCGAAGGCAGCUUUCUGGAUCAUUACUGACACUGAGGAACGAAAGCAUGGGUAGCGAAGAGGAUUAGAUACCCUCGUAGUCCAUGCCGUAAACGAUGUGUGUUAAAUGUUGGAAAUUUAUUUUCAGUAUCGCAGCGAAAGCGUUAAACACACCGCCUGGGGAGUACGACCGCAAGGUUAAAACUCAAAUGAAUUGACGGGGACCCGCACAAGUAGUGGAGCAUGUGGUUUAAUUCGAAGAUACGCGCAGAACCUUACCAACACUUGACAUGUUUGUCGCGACUUUAAGAGAUUAAAGUCUUCGGCUCGGCCGGACAAAACACAGGUGCUGCAUGGCUGUCGUCAGCUCGUGUCGUGAGAUGUUGGGUUAAGUCCCGCAACGAGCGCAACCCUCACUUUUAGUUGCCAUCAUUUAGUUGGGCACUCUGAAAGAACUGCCAGUGAUAAGCUGGAGGAAGGUGGGGAUGACGUCAAGUCCUCAUGGCCCUUACGUGUUGGGCUACACACGUGCUACAAUGGCAUUUACAGUAGGAUGCAAAACGGCGACGUUGAGCAAAUCCUAAAAAAAUGCCUCAGUUCGGAUUGUACUCUGCAACUCGAGUACAUGAAGCUGGAAUUACUAGUAAUCGCGGAUCAGCGCGCCGCGGUGAAUACGUUCCCGGGUCUUGUACACACCGCCCGUCACACCAUGGGAGUUGGUUCUACCUUAAGGCAAAGCAUAAAACCUUUGACCACGGUAUAGUCAGCGACUGGGGUGAAGUCGUA